UUUUCAGGUUUAUUGGAAAGGCUGGGGUGUAUUUUGCUUGCCUUGAGAUGUGUAUAUUUUAAGCUAGUAAUCUUUUUCUAUGUUUUCAUCCUGGCCACCCUGCCACCCCGGUUUUCUUGGUUUUGUUUCAUGUUAGUCCUUAAAUAUUUUACAUUUAGAUAUAUUGAAUUAUAUUAGUAGAGUUUGAUAUGUACAUGUAUGUAUGUAUGUAUGUAUGUAUAUAUUGGUUUGUUGUUUGUUUUAGGAAGACAUAGUUUUGUUAUUUUGUUUUGUUUUUUGUUUUCUAUUUUACUAUUACAUUUUAAAAGCAAUUUAUGUGGCCGGUGAGACACAGGUAUUUUUAAUCAGCCUGCUCUGGUGAGUGUCCUCUGGGCUUAGUUUAGAAGGAGGAAGACCAAGAAAAAGUAGAGAAGGUAAAAUUAAAGUUGCUGUCUCAGAAUAGAAGCUAGAAAUUUUGACUGGGAACUGGGACAAGAGUCUCUCUGGAGAGAAGCACUUUACGCUGCCAGAAGAGCCAUUGCCCAGGCUCGGAGCAAAGUGAGCCCCAUUGUGGCUGUUCACCACCGAGAAGGUGAGCCCCCUGCGUCACUAACAGAGCAAAAGCUUGUUUAGGGCUCUCUGCUGCUUUCAGACCACCGGACAAGUAAGUUCAAGGUGCCUGGGGGGCCUGAGCAAGAACACAAAGAUAUAUAUGCAGUUAAGUUGGCACAGAUUUUGCAUUCAAUAGAUUUGAUAGGAUACUUGCUUUAAAUCCACGUUUCUGAUAAUUCUUCCUUUCCAAAGUUAGAGUUGUUUUAUUUGUUUAAUGUUGGACUUACUCAGGCUUAGGAGAGAGCUGCUUAGCUCCUUCUCUCAGCUGUCAUACUGAGAUAUGGACCAGGGGAGUGAUGGCUCUGACUGUGGUCAGGAAGGCUGCCUGCUGUUGCCGGGGGUUAGUUAGUAAAGUCAGCAGUUCUUACAGCCCACCUUUCUCCUCUAGUGGAAGACAAGCCACUCUGGUUGUUG
rnacentral:lncRNA from 1 species